rnacentral:rRNA from 1 species
CCUACGGGUGGCAGCAGUGGGGAAUAUUGGACAAUGGGGGGAACCCUGAUCCAGCGACGCCGCGUGAGUGAAGAAGUACUUCGGUAUGUAAAGCUCUAUCAGCAGGGAAGAAAAUGACGGUACCUGACUAAGAAGCCCCGGCUAACUACGUGCCAGCAGCCGCGGUAAUACGUAGGGGGCAAGCGUUAUCCGGAUUUACUGGGUGUAAAGGGAGCGUAGGCGGUGAAGCAAGUCUGGAGUGAAAUGCCGGGGCUUAACCCCGGAACUGCUUUGGAGACUGUGCAGCUAGAGUGCAGGAGAGGUAAGUGGAAUUCCUAGUGUAGCGGUGAAAUGCGUAGAUAUUAGGAGGAACACCAGUGGCGAAGGCGGCUUACUGGACUGUAACUGACGUUGAGGCUCGAAAGCGUGGGGAGCAAACAGGAUUAGAUACCCUUGUAGUC